UACGGGGGGAGCAAGCGUUGUUCGGAUUUACUGGGCGUAAAGGGCGCGUAGGCGGCGUGGCAAGUCACUUGUGAAAUCUCCGGGCUUAACUCGGAACGGUCAAGUGAUACUGCUGUGCUAGAGUGCGGAAGGGGCAACUGGAAUUCUUGGUGUAGCGGUGAAAUGCGUAGAUAUCAAGAGGAACACCUGCGGCGAAGGCGGGUUGCUGGGCCGACACUGACGCUGAGACACGAAAGCGUGGGUAGCAAACAGG
rnacentral:rRNA from 1 species